GCAUAUCAUAAAAUAUGUAAAUAUUAAUUUAUAACCUUAUUUGAUAGAAAUUUAUAAUAUCAGGUGGUACAUUGAUUUAGACUAUUAAUUAAUAUGUGUACAAUAUCAAAUAUAUAUUAAAAUAAAAAUGUUUAACAAAUUAAAAUAAUUGAGGUUUAUAUUACAGUACAGUAUAUCUUAUGAGUACAUGAUAUGAAGUUAUGCUGUUGAUCUUUUUUAUAUAUUAUUAUCAGGAUUAUAAGAAAUAAAAUAAAAAAUGGAGAAGGUCAAAAAAAUAAAAGUGAAUCAAGCUAUUGAAUUACUUUGGCUAAAUAAGAAAGAUGCGCAGAAGAAGAAGACAAAUGGUCAUAAGAUAGAAAAAUCAUUGAAUAUUCACACUCAGUGUAAAAUUAUACAUUAUUACAAGAAAAGUAAGAAGCAACAUUCAGUAAGUUCCUCAAAGUACAAGAUACUCUCUGAAAUAAAAUCACAUGCGAUUAAAAAAAAUUGGAGUAAAGUUAAAAAUCUAUUUUUAUUAUUACUAAAUUUUUCUAUUGAUAUUGAACCUUUAAUAUGGCGUUAUAGUCUUAUACUUUCAUUAUAUAGCAAUAUCGAUAAUUUAUCUAAUAUUUCCCAACUUUUUGAAACAUGUAUUGGUGCUUCACAUUCUGAUAAAAAUUUAAUACUAAAAAAUUUAUUGUUAUUGCGUCAUAAAUAAACAAAUUUUUAUGUCAUAAAU
rnacentral:lncRNA from 1 species